rnacentral:lncRNA from 1 species
GUCGACUUGCGCCAGCCCAGAGGCUGGGGAGGCGUCCGAGCCUCCGUCCCGCCUCGUCGUCGAGGAAGGUUAAGGACAAGCGCCAGCUCACCUGCGCUGGGGCAGGGAAGGGCAGAGUGGCCAAGGCCGGGCGGGCGUGACAAGGGCGAGGCGACCCCAGUCCAGAGGCUGACUUCCUCACCGCCCUGGGUCCCAAUCCUGAUCUGGGCUACCCUAUCUGUGCUUCUGGGGAGGUGGGCCCAGAACCAUUGUGUGAAUAACGAUUGACCUCAGCUAGUGGUUCUCAUGGAGUGACUGAUUUUGCCUCCCAGAGGACAUCAGCAAUGUCUGGAGACAUUUCCAGUUGUCACUACUUGAGAGGAAGCACGAUCUGCCUCUAGAAGGGAGAGACCAGGGAUGCUGCUGCUCAAUAUCCUAUAAUGCGCAGAACAGCUUCUACGACA